AUUCCAUGCAAAUUUAUUGAGCACCUGUGUCAGGUCCUGAGCUAGGAUCUAAGACCACAAAAAUGGGUACCUUCAAAAAGCUCACAACCCAAAGGAAAUUAGAAAAAAUUAAAACACAAUGUCACCAGGGCUCUGAGAGUAUAAAGACAGACAUAUCAAAAUCUACUUCAAUUGAGCUCAGGAAGGUUUUGCAAGAGAGGUAACAUUUAAGCUGAAUCUCAAAGGACACUUGGGAACACUUCAGCACGUUUCAAGCAGAAGGAAACACAAGUGCAAAAGUACUGAGGAGAAUCAUCUGCUUCUAGACAGUGACUGAGGAGAGUAACCGAAACAGCGAAAAGCAAAAUCGUGAAAGCAAAACCUUGGAUGAGGGAGAACUACUGUAAUGUGAUCAAAUUGAUGUUUGAUAAAGAUUGACUAGCUCAAAACUUCAUCCUGUCCCUUCACUUCUCCAGCCACUGACAACUGCAUAAGUUUCCAUAUUCUGCUAAAGAACAGCACAAUUUCCACUGUGUCUUUGAAAGGCUAGAGACCAUAUAGACCUACGAGAAGAGCAACUACCAGAGCAGGAGCCCUGUUCUACAGGUUCUUCAUGCCAAUGGAAUGAAGUUUCCAAAUUAUUAGUAUUCUGCUUACAAGGUAUCAAUACCCUCUCUAUGAGUUGAAAAUAUCCUACUUUCCUAAUCCACCUUCUAUAAGGCCAGCCAGCUAUUUGUUAUUGAGUCAGGCAAUAUCUAACCCUCAGGUGUAUGUGAUAAUGUCUAAACCUCAAAGAUAAGUAGUGUCCUUAAAGAGUUCAAACCAUAUAAGCAAGCAAUUCUAAAACAAUAAAACAUGGUCCAUGUAAUACAG